rnacentral:rRNA from 1 species
GACGAACGCUGGCGGCGUGCUUAACACAUGCAAGUCGAACGGAAAGGCCCUGCUUUUGUGGGGUGCUCGAGUGGCGAACGGGUGAGUAACACGUGAGUAACCUGCCCUUGACUUUGGGAUAACUUCAGGAAACUGGGGCUAAUACCGGAUAGGAGCUCCUGCUGCAUGGUGGGGGUUGGAAAGUUUCGGCGGUUGGGGAUGGACUCGCGGCUUAUCAGCUUGUUGGUGGGGUAGUGGCUUACCAAGGCUUUGACGGGUAGCCGGCCUGAGAGGGUGACCGGCCACCUUGGGACUGAGAUUCGGCCCAGACUCCUACGGGAGGCAGCAGUGGGGAAUAUUGCACAAUGGGCGGAAGCCUGAUGCAGCAACGCCGCGUGCGGGAUGACGGCCUUCGGGUUUUAAACCGCUUUCGCCUGUGACGAAGCGUGAGUGACGGUAAUGGGUAAAGAAGCACCGGCUAACUACGUG